CAUUGUUAAAAAAAAAUAAAAUAAAAUAAAAAACAAAUGCCAGUUGUAGACCACGGUGCACACACAAAAUAAAAACAAAUGCUAUACCUUCCCAAGGUCAACAAAUGUUUUGUAUCUUCCCUAGCAAGCUGAACAAACAAAAUAAUUAAAAAAAUAAAACAGAUCAGAGGCAGCACUUCGUCUUCAACACAAAGCUGAACACAGAACAGAGGCAGCUUGGAGAUUCAACACAGAUCUGAAAAUUUGUGAUGGAAUCUCACCUCGAAGUGGUUCAUGUGCUGUAAAGACAAAAGAGAAAAGCUCAAUCAUAAUAAAGAUUCUUCACUAGGGAGUUUAAAAGGAGAAGCAUGAACAAUAGUGCCUUUAUGUUCAAUCAGAAUGGUUUCUAAAUGAGGGUGACUAGAUGAAACAAAAGUAGUAGAGGAAGUUUUCCAUUUAGUUUUUGUAAUAACGUUUACUUUUUGAUAAUAAUUUUCUAAAUAAUCAAAAAAAUUAAUUUCAGUA